UUUGGGGCAUCCCGUAUAGCGAGACAAGGUCGAUAAAACAUCACUCGUGUUUAUGUCGAGAGGCGUUCGACCUCCGAGACAAAGGUGAUAUAUCAAGGUGCUUGCGCCGCGCUUAGGUCUCAUAAUACGGCGUGACGGUGAACGUGACGGCAGACGCUCCGCUGCGCGUUACUUUCCACCUUCCGGAAUGAAUCGGGUCGAUUUUCGGCCGCGUCCGGAAAACGCGUUAUAAUAUUCCGCGCGCGAGACGUCGUGAAGCGCGCAUUAAAAAAUUGGGUAAUACGAAAAAUAGCCUGUGAUAAUAUUAUAUAAAAUAAUCGACGUCAAAGCAAUGAAAGGAAUCGUACAAAGGUGCUGCUUCAAACACGACUGAGAGAGUUAGUCGGUUGAUUCUCGGCAGAACAACACGCUCACAGUGUUGAAACGGUCGGCGGUACAAAGGCGGUGCGCAAAUGAAAGACAUAUCGCGCGCGAUUUUCCACUUUGCUUUACAUUAAUCGGAUCGACUCGCGAAAACGCGUUAUUAUAAUAUUUCGCGCGUGCGAAUAGUGUGCUGGAAUCAUCGUGAACUUCAGGAGCGUCCGAGAGUCUCUUCGGAGAGGGUCUGGUGAACGCGGAUUGCUGCACCGGAGGAUCCGGUUCGGGCCGAGCAGAAUCAGCUCGAAG